AUGUCCAUCUUGGAACCAUUCGGGCAGAAGGCGGGUGGUCUGCUGGACUACGACAGCCUAGUGCCUGCGCGCCCCUCCCGCUCUCCCCCCGUCCGUUCAGCCGGCCACUCAAGUCGUCGACCGAGCUGCUUGUGGCCGAUCCCUCCCGGCAACCCAGGCCCUACCUCCAGCGACCGCGACUUUCUCGGCUACAUCUUCCUCAAUGGCUCCGCCUCCUGGCGCAGCGGCCGUGGAGAGCUCACCCUCCCAUGGCUCCCCAACCUGCGGGCGCCCUACCAGUUCCGCCGCUUCCACUGUACCGCCAAAGAGUACUCCUACCACCUCGUCGACCACGACGGUAACCCGCUCCUCCACGGCCGCCACCGCGUCGCCCACUCUGGCGAGGUCUCUUUCGCGGGCUCGGCCACGCGGCCCGAGCAGGUGCACCUCCCGUUCACCGAUAGGGCCGACGAGAUGCGGGUGAUGUUCAUGUGCACGGUCGCCGGAAAGAGGGACGUGAGGUAUGGGCUUGAGAAGGAGGAGGAGAAGGGCUGGACGGAGGUGGGCACGGAGGUGAGGACGUACGAGCAGAAGCACAUGUGCAACGCGCCGACGAACGACAGCGUAGGGUGGAGGGAUCCGGGCUUCGUCUUCGAUGGCCUCAUGAAUAGGUUGGAGCCCGGAAGGAGGUACUUUUACAAGAUUGUUCUUCCAGUAGCUUGCCCAGCGGAGGAGCUAGCCGUCAUCCCGAGCGGCGCGCUGUUCUCCAUGUUGUCAGGUGACUUGCUGGAGCUAGCAGUGGUUUGGCGGCAUGGUUGCCAGCUAGCUACACAAAUCCAUGACCCCUCAUCAUCUACACAAGUCCUCCCCACCUCCUCCCUCAUGUUGGCUCUGACCGAGACGGCACACCAGUCAGCACCACGAAGGGGUCAAACACAACCAGGCUCUAACUGGGACAUCACACCAGUCAGCACCACGAAGGGGUAA
rnacentral:rRNA from 1 species